rnacentral:rRNA from 1 species
GACAGAGGGUGCAAGCGUUGCCCGGAAUUACUGGGCGUAAAGCGCGUGUAGGCGGGCUAGUAAGUCGGACGUGAAAUCCCUGGGCUCAACCCAGGAACUGCAUCCGAAACUAUUAGCCUUGAGUGGUGGAGAGGGAAGCAGAAUUCCUGGUGUAGAGGUGAAAUUCGUAGAUAUCAGGAGGAACACCGGUGGCGAAGGCGGCUUCCUGGACACUAACUGACGCUGAGACGCGAAAGCGUGGGGAGCAAACAGG